rnacentral:lncRNA from 1 species
UCGAUCUGUUCUCUUGUGUUCUCAAUUCCCCCCUUUUUUUUUGUUUGAUUGUUAAUUCCCUACUCAAAUUAGUUUGUUUGUUUAAUUCCCCAUUUUUUUUUAUCAGUUUUUCAUGUAUAGAUAUGAAUUCUCUAUUCCUAUUUUUCAUUUUCAAUUCAUUCUUUUGAUUUAGUUAUUCUCUCUACCAACUCUAAUUUGAGUAGUUGCAUUUGUUUUCUAAUGUUAACAGAGCCAUCUCUUUGCUUGUCUGCAAUUUGCGUUUUUUAUCUCCAUUUUGUUCCCAAAUAUUUUCUCAAUUUGUGUUCUUU